GAAGCAGCAGCAGAAUCUGACACGGUAGAAGUUCUUUUUUUCCUCUCUUCCUCAUAUUCAGCAUCAUCAGUCUCAAGCUGGAAUCUACAGACAGGACAAGAGUUCCUUGUUCCUAACCAUGGCACAAUACAAUCUCCGUGGUAACAAUGUCCACACGGUAACUUCUUACCAGUUUCUCCCAUCACCAUUCCAUCUUUACACACAGCACAAACCAUAACCAUCUCUCCCUCCGAAGAACUAACCUCGAAAGUCUCCAAUGC